AUCCCAAUAAAUAUAGCAUAAUAUUAUAUAAGGAGUUAACAUAUAAUAAUAAGAUAGGACUGUUAAUAAGCUUACAAAUAGAGUUUUGGAAAAGAGAAUUCUAAAAUACGAGCGUUUUAAACUAUACAAAAGUUACAAGUCUGAUACAAAAUCUGUGAACAAACCGAACAACUUCAAGGCUACGUUUAAAUCGAUCGGUAUUGCAAAAAGAUAAUUAUACAUCGAAUUGUUAUACAAAACUAUAUAAACCGAAUGAUGUUACACUGAUUAAUACUUCCAAAUACUGACCAAACGGUCAUAUACUAAGCUUCGGGGUUCUCUCCUUCCAGAGCUUCUUCCAGCAAAUAGUCUUCACCGUUUGCUCACAUCCACAAAAUGAUCAUUGUAAUGACAAGAACAACAUGACAAGACAGAAAUAAGGGUAAUUUUUUGUAAUUUAAUUAAUCAAAGUAAUUUUUACCAUUUUACAGUUUAUCUAAUCAGGUAAUACACCAAGUAAUGUAAACAUAUAAUUUCCAAUCAUACACUGACCAAACACAUAAUACACUUAUAGACCGACCACGUGAUUUGACCAUCCAGAUUAUUAUGUAAUGUCGAGUUCCAGAGGUUUGUGCACUGGUGUGGUGAAGUAACUGGAACACCCUCCGCUACCACACCAGGUUAGUAAAAUAAAAUCCUUAUAAACCUCUGAUGUGGUGAAGUAACUGGAACACCCUCAGCUGCCACACCAGGAUAACUCAACAAAUCCUUAUAAUCCAACCAAACAAGGACCUUCUGCUAUUCUCCCCACAUGAUUCAUCACUCUCUACUUAAGCAUGGAUGAUCAUUAGAAUGUUAGGAUAAACCCCAUUAGACACUCCAGCCAUUCAUACAGUCAAUCACAACAAAGAUCAUCAUCAUAUACCCUUUCUGUGAGGAUAAUGCAAUUACAUUCACAAUCAGACUCUUCAUCAUUAUAAUAAUACAUUCAUGAACCUUUAAUUCAUAUAAUCUUUAAAUACCAACAUACUUAGCCAUCAAUAUAAGUGAACCGAAUAGUAUAAAAGAGUCACAAACAUAAAUAAAACCGAAUAGAAUAACACUCCUUAGGAACUAACAUGGCCGAACGCUGUUUAUCAAGCUACCAAUUUAUUUAACUGAACCCUACGAGCUUAAACCAAACACUACAAAGCCUAUGUUGAGCACUAAGGCUAUAAGCCAAACACCAUUUAUUGAGACUGAACACUGUUACACUGAAUACUAGUAGCAAACUGAAUACUAUGAAGAACUCGAGUGCUAGUACAAGACCAAGCACUAUUGAGACCGAGCACUAGUCAAAUACCGAACACUGAAGAGACCGAGUGUUAGUCUAAGACCGAACACUAUCAAGACCGAGUGUCAGUAUAAGACCGAACACUCUCAAGACCAAGUGUUAGUAUAAAACCAAACACUCUCAAGGCCGAGUGUCAGUGCAAGACCAAACACUACCAAGCUUAUACAGGAGUGGAUAAGUGGAUUCGACCUCACAAUUACAAACAUUUAGUUAUAACUGAGAAUAAAAGUAGGAUUUAUUACUUAAGUUAUAUUGAGUACCUUAGCUAGGCUGACUACCAAGUAGAAGAAGUUAUACAUAUGGCUGAAUGCUAUACUUUAUUAUAUAAUACAAGACCGUUCGGUCAUUAACUGAAGUUCCAUCAAAGAAGAAUUCAGUUAAGACCGAAUACACACAACAGACCGAACGGUCACUAAUGACCUCUCGACGACAAUUACAAAAUUCUGCAGAAUUAAGAUCGGACCUUAUCCCUAUCAGUUAAUGCCAUUUCUCAAACAUCAACCAAAUCAUCCAACAUAACAUCACACAAUCAUGCAAUCAUUCAUAACGUAGAAUCAUAAUUAAUUACAAGCUUCCCUUACUUCGAAACCCAGAAAAAUUCUAUGCUUCUAUAGUAUUACCAAGACUGCACGUAACUUCUAUGACUUUUUAUAAGCUUCUGAUUGGCGAAGAGGAACCAACCAUGGAAUCAAAGAUAGAAAACAGUUUCAGAGAAGGAAUUGAUUAACACAUCUAAGCGGAACAAUACUUGCAUGUAAUAGGAAAUGCAAAAACACUACAUAACGAAUGAAUUUAGCUUACCAAUUUCAAAACAACAACUUGGUCGGUUCAAAUGAAAGCUCUUGACGUUUGGAAGUCUCAGACACUGUCUGAACGGUGAUCAGAGGAGUAAAAAAUGAGAAAUCGUAAAGGAAAAAUGGAGAAUUCUAGAAAGAAAAAUGAGAAAAUGAAAUCAGUGUUUUAGGAAAAAGAAUACAUACAUAAAAAUGACACCAAAUUUCAAAAUCCAAACUUAAAUACAACCAUCAAAAACUCUCACGAUCUACUCAUCCAUACACACUUGGAUUGUAUGAAUUUCACUUUCUGAGUUUUAUUUCCCUCCGGCGUAUACAUGGCUUCCACUAUUAUUAGAAUUUAAUGAUUCUGACACACCCUACC
rnacentral:lncRNA from 1 species